rnacentral:rRNA from 2 species
UUUAUUUGAGAGUUUGAUCCUGGCUCAGGACGAACGCUGGCGGCGUGCCUAAUACAUGCAAGUUGAGCGAUGAAGAUUGGUGCUUGCAC